UACGAAGGGGGCUAGCGUUGUUCGGAAUUACUGGGCGUAAAGCGCACGUAGGCGGGUUAUUAAGUCAGGGGUGAAAUCCCGGAGCUCAACUCCGGAACUGCCUUUGAUACUGGUAAUCUAGAGAUCGGAAGAGGUUAGUGGAAUUCCCAGUGUAGAGGUGAAAUUCGUAGGUAUUGGGAAGAACACCAGUGGCGAAGGCGGCUAACUGGUCCGAUACUGACGCUGAGGUGCGAAAGCGUGGGGAGCAAACAGG
rnacentral:rRNA from 1 species